AGAGCGAACGCUGGCGGCAGGCUUAACACAUGCAAGUCGAGCGCCCGUAGCAAUACGGGAGCGGCAGACGGGAGAGUAACACGUGGGAACGUACCCUUCAGUUCGGAACAACCCAGGGAAACUUGGGCUAAUACCGAAUACGUCCGUAAGGAGAAAGAUUUAUCGCUGAAGGAUCGGCCCGCGUCUGAUUAGCUAGUUGGUGAGGUAAUGGCUCACCAAGGCUACGAUCAGUAGCUGGUCUGAGAGGAUGAUCAGCCUCACUGGGACUGAGACACGGCCCAGACUCCUACGGGAGGCAGCAGUGGGGAAUAUUGGACAAUGGGCGCAAGCCUGAUCCAGCCAUGCCGCGUGGAUGAUGAAGGCCUUAGGGUGUAAAGUCCUUUUAACGGGAAGAUAAUGACGUACCCGUAGAAUAAGCCCGGCUAACUUCGCGCCAGCAGCCGC
rnacentral:rRNA from 1 species